AAAGUAUGUAAAUAAAUAUUCAAGAAAAUAAAUUAUUGUAAAAAGUACAAAAACAUUAGUGAAAAUAUGAUGUAACUUCAAGUUUAAUGGCGAAGCGACAUGGCUGUGGUUCUAUUCGCCGCAAGACAUCAGAUUUCAUAAAAUUAAAGAAGAUCUUUAAUCAAUACAGAUCAUUGUUUUACAGUACUAUCACCUCUAAACCUUUUAUCUUAGUCACAUUAUCGCUCGUCCUAUUUUUCACCUUCCUGCUACCGGAUUUCUCUGAAAGAAUCGACAGAAGUGCGGAAUUAAAGGAAAUGAAGAAAGUUUUGGAUAAGAUCACGAAAGAUAUAAUACAAGCUGAAAGAACCUGUUAUACAGCAGCUGAAGACAUCUACGCUAUAUACAAUUUGAACAACUUUUAUCGUGGAAUUUAAACUUGCUUUGAUUCAAGGAAAAGAUUUAAUUUCUUUGAAAUUAAGCGCCAUCUACACAAUCUUUAAAGCAACUGCACAUAGAAGAACAACAAGACAUAUAUCUCCAGUUCUAACUUCAAAGUCAACCAUAGAUUUAGAGUUUGAUAAUACAACUAGAGGGCAGUUAUAUCAAACCUCACAAGAUAUUUACACAAAUAAUUAGAUCUAAAACAUAAUUUUAAAGGGAAGUAUGCCAGUCCGUAAGAACUUCAUUUUGGAAUUAGCCAUUUUUGUCUCUGUUAUACUCAUAACGUCGCAUAUUACCACUCAUCUUUGGGACAGACACUUUUUACGCCGUGAAAUUAAUAAUAUGAGAAAGAGCUUGCAUUCACUUAAGAAUACGAUGACCGAUAUCGGUACAGCGUACGACACUUUACACAAAGAUGUAAAACAAAUUGUGAAACACAAACCCUGCAAAAGCUGUUGCCAUAGUCCAAAUCACGCACUUGACAGAAGAAAACAACAUGACAUAAACGUCGUGUCUAUGAUAGAGAAGAAAAAAGCCUCUAUGGUCUGUAAAGAAGUGCAGACUCGACAAAAUACAGCCUUUAACAAGCACUGCCUAACUACUACUAAUGCCUCAACAAUAACUAGAUAUCCCCUUAGAUCAACCGGUGCAGGCAUUGAAACUAGACAAUAUUACGCAUAUAAGGACGAUUGCACUUGCAAAGACAUAAGACGAACAAUUAAAGUUUAAAAUAUUUAUUCGAUGUUUGUUUGCCGUUAAAUAA